CGAGCGAAAUAUUGGGAGCUUGCUUUUGAUUAUUUUAGCGGCGGACGGGUGAGUAACGUGUGGGUAACCUGCCUUUUACUGGGGAAUAAUCACUGGAAACGGUGACUAAUACCGCAUACGGUUCUUGGAAGGCAUCUUCUGAGAAAGAAAGGAUUUAUUCGGUAAAAGAUGGGCCCGCAUCUGAUUAGCUAGUUGGUGAGAUAACAGCCCACCAAGGCGACGAUCAGUAGCCGACCUGAGAGGGUGACCGGCCACAUUGGGACUGAGACACGGCCCAAACUCCUACGGGAGGCAGCAGUGGGGAAUAUUGCACAAUGGGCGAAAGCCUGAUGCAGCAACGCCGCGUGAAGGAAGACGGUUUUCGGAUUGUAAACUUCUAUCAAUAGGGAAGAAAGGAAUGACGGUACCUAAAUAAGAAGCCCCGGCUAACUACGUGCCAGCAGCCGCGGUAAUACGUAGGGGGCAAGCGUUAUCCGGAAUUACUGGGUGUAAAGGGAGAGUAGGCGGCAAGGUAAGCGAUAUGUGAAAGCCUUAGGCUUAACCUGAGGAUUGCAUAACGAACUAUCUAGCUAGAGUACAGGAGAGGAAAGCGGAAUUCUUAGUGUAGCGGUGAAAUGCGUAGAUAUUAGGAAGAACACCAGUGGCGAAGGCGGCUUUCUGGACUGAAACUGACGCUGAGGCUCGAAAGCGUGGGGAGCGAACAGGAUUAGAUACCCUGGUAGUCCACGCUGUAAACGAUGAGUGCUAGGUGUCGGGGAGGAAUCCUCGGUGCC
rnacentral:rRNA from 1 species